rnacentral:rRNA from 1 species
UACGUAGGGUGCGAGCGUUGUCCGGAAUUAUUGGGCGUAAAGAGCUUGUAGGCGGUUUGUCGCUUCUGCUGUGAAAAUCCGGGGCUCAACCCCGGACUUGCAGUGGGUACGGGCAGACUAGAGUGUGGUAGGGGAGACUGGAAUUCCUGGUGUAGCGGUGAAAUGCGCAGAUAUCAGGAGGAACACCGAUGGCGAAGGCAGGUCUCUGGGCCACUACUGACGCUGAGAAGCGAAAGCAUGGGGAGCGAACAGG